AUUGAACGCUGGCGGCAGGCCUAACACAUGCAAGUCGAACGAGUGGCGGACGGGUGAGUAAUGUCUGGGAAACUGCCUGAUGGAGGGGGAUAACUCCUGGAAACGGUAGCUAAUACCGCAUACCAUCGGAUGUGCCCAGAUGGGAUUAGCUAGUUGGUGGGGUAAAGGCUCACCAAGGCGACGAUCCCUAGCUGGUCUGGGAGGAUGACCAGCCACACGGGAACUGAGACACGGUCCAGACGCCUACGGGAGGCAGCAGUGGGGAAUAUUGCACAAUGGGCGCAAUCCGGAGGCAGCAAUGCCGCGUGUAUGAAGAAGGCCUUCGGGUUGUAAGGCACUUUCAGCGGGGAGGCGUUACUCGCAGAAGAAGCACCGGCUAACUCCGUGCCAGCAGCCGCGGUAAUAC
rnacentral:rRNA from 1 species